rnacentral:rRNA from 1 species
AGAGUUUGAUCCUGGCUCAGGAUGAACGCUAGCGGCAGGCCUAAUACAUGCAAGUCGAACGGUAACAUGAGAGCUUGCUCUUGAUGACGAGUGGCGCACGGGUGCGUAACGCGUAUGCAACCUACCCUUUACUGGGGGAUAGCCCGGAGAAAUCCGGAUUAAUACUCCAUGGUACUGUAAUGUAGCAUUACAUAGCAGUUAAAGAUUUAUUGGUAAAGGAUGGGCAUGCGUGACAUUAGUUAGUUGGUAAGGUAACGGCUUACCAAGACGAUGAUGUCUAGGGGUUCUGAGAGGAAGGUCCCCCACACUGGUACUGAGACACGGACCAGACUCCUACGGGAGGCAGCAGUAGGGAAUAUUGGUCAAUGGAGGCAACUCUGAACCAGCCAUGCCGCGUGCAGGAUGACAGCUUUCUGAGUUGUAAACUGCUUUUAUAUAGGAACAAAGAGGCCAUGCGUGGCAAGUUGCGUGUACUAUAUGAAUAAGCACCGGCUAACUCCGUGCCAGCAGCCGCGGUAAUACGGAGGGUGCAAGCGUUGUCCGGAUUUAUUGGGUUUAAAGGGUGCGUAGGUGGCGUGUUAAGUCAGUGGUGAAAGCCUGCAGCUCAACUGUAGAGGUGCCAUUGAUACUGACAUGCUUGAGUAUGGACGAGGUAGGCGGAAUUUGUGGUGUAGCGGUGAAAUGCAUAGAUACCACAAAGAACACCGAUAGCGAAGGCAGCUUACUGGACCAUAACUGACACUGAGGCACGAAAGCGUGGGGAGCGAACAGGAUUAGAUACCCUGGUAGUCCACGCCGUAA